rnacentral:snoRNA from 2 species
AUCCCAGCUAAAAUUCCCUUUUGGUUAUCCGAUUCAUGGGAGGCAAACAUUUACAAUGGAGAUUUUGCUGAGAGCACCUUUUUUUUUUUUUUCCAGUCUUUCUGGAGGUGUUUUACUUGUGUCUUUCCAUACAUGG